GCUGGCGGAAUGCUUUACACAUGCAAGUCGAGCGGCAGCGCGGGGGCAACCCUGGCGGCGAGCGGCGAACGGGUGAGUAAUACAUCGGAACGUACCCAGUAGUGGGGGAUAACACAUCGAAAGAUGUGCUAAUACCGCAUACGACCUGAGGGUGAAAGGGGGGGAUCGCAAGACCUCUCGCUAUUGGAGCGGCCGAUGUCGGAUUAGCUAGUUGGUGGGGUAAAGGCCUACCAAGGCGACGAUCCGUAGCUGGUCUGAGAGGAUGAUCAGCCACACUGGGACUGAGACACGGCCCAGACUCCUACGGGAGGCAGCAGUGGGGAAUUUUGGACAAUGGGGGCAACCCUGAUCCAGCCAUUCCGCGUGAGUGAAGAAGGCCUUCGGGUUGUAAAGCUCUUUCGGCAGGAACGAAACGGUGGGUCCUAAUACGAUCUGCUAAUGACGGUACCUGAAGAAGAAGCACCGGCUAACUACGUACCAGCAGCCGCGGUAAUACGUAGGGUGCGAGCGUUAAUCGGAAUUACUGGGCGUAAAGCGUGCGCAGGCGGUUUUGUAAGACAGAUGUGAAAUCCCCGGGCUUAACCUGGGAACUGCGUUUG
rnacentral:rRNA from 1 species